rnacentral:rRNA from 1 species
GACGAACCGUGCGAACGUUGUUCGGAAUCACUGGGCUUAAAGGGCGCGUAGGCGGGCUCUCAAGUCAGGGGUGAAAACUUUCGGCUCAACCGGAAAAGUGCUUCUGAUACUGGGAGUCUCGAGGGAGGUAGGGGUCGGUGGAACUGGUGGUGGAGCGGUGAAAUGCGUAGAUAUCGGGAGGAACACCAGUGGCGAAGGCGACUUCCUGGCCUGUUCUUGACGCUGAGGCGCGAAAGCUAGGGUAGCAAACGGG